GCCUACGGCCACACCACCCUGAAAANGCCCAAUCUCAUCUGAUCUCAGAANCUAAGCAGGGUAGGGCCCGGUUCGCUCAGUNGGUAGAGCAUGAGACCCCUAAUCUCAGCUUCGUGGGUU
rnacentral:rRNA from 1 species